CACGGAUGGGAAGAGAAAAGGAAAUGACUGACCUGGAAGUCUGUGCACCAUCUGAGUGAAUACCUAUUGCUCACAGAGGGCACCAGAGUUUGAAAUCUCUCAAACUGGAGUACAGACAGUUGUGAAUCAUCAGAUAUUUGACUCCAGAAUGAACUCUCUUCUUCCUUCGAGG